UAUCCUGUCUGAAUAUGGGGGGACCAUCCUCCAAGGCUAAAUACUCCUGACUGACCGAUAGUGAACCAGUACCGUGAGGGAAAGGCGAAAAGAACCCCGGCGAGGGGAGUGAAAAAGAACCUGAAACCGUGUACGUACAAGCAGUGGGAGCACCCUUUGGGGUGUGACUGCGUACCUUUUGUAUAAUGGGUCAGCGACUUAUAUUCUGUAGCAAGGUUAACCGUAUAGGGGAGCCGGAGGGAAACCGAGUCUUAACCGGGCGUUAAGUUGCAGGGUAUAGACCCGAAACCCGGUGAUCUAGCCAUGGGCAGGUUGAAGGUUGGGUAACACUAACUGGAGGACCGAACCGACUAAUGUUGAAAAAUUAGCGGAUGACCUGUGGCUGGGGGUGAAAGGCCAAUCAAACCGGGAGAUAGCUGGUUCUCCCCGAAAGCUAUUUAGGUAGCGCCUCGUGAAUUCAUCUCCGGGGGUAGAGCACUGUUUCGGCUAGGGGGCCAUCCCGGCUUACCAACCCGAUGCAAACUGCGAAUACCGGAGAAUGUUAUCACGGGAGACACACGGCGGGUGCUAACGUCCGUCGUGAAGAGGGAAACAACCCAGACCGCCAGCUAAGGUCCCAAAGUCAUGGUUAAGUGGGAAACGAUGUGGGAAGGCCCAGACAGCCAGGAUGUUGGCUUAGAAGCAGCCAUCAUUUAAAGAAAGCGUAAUAGCUCACUGGUCGAGUCGGCCUGCGCGGAAGAUGUAACGGGGCUAAACCAUGCACCGAAGCUGCGGCAGCGACGCUGAUGCGUUGUUGGGUAGGGGAGCGUUCUGUAAGCCUGCGAAGGUGGCCUGUGAGGGUUGCUGGAGGUAUCAGAAGUGCGAAUGCUGACAUAAGUAACGAUAAAGCGGGUGAAAAGCCCGCUCGCCGGAAGACCAAGGGUUCCUGUCCAACGUUAAUCGGGGCAGGGUGAGUCGACCCCUAAGGCGAGGCCGAAAGGCGUAGUCGAUGGGAAACGGGUUAAUAUUCCCGUACUUGGUGUUACUGCGAAGGGGGGACGGAGAAGGCUAUGUUGGCCGGGCGACGGUU
rnacentral:rRNA from 2 species